rnacentral:rRNA from 1 species
UACAGAGGUGCCAAGCGUUGUUCGGAUUUACUGGGCGUAAAGGGUGCGUAGGCGGUCGCGCAAGUCGGGCGUGAAAUCCCGGGGCCUAACCCCGGAACGGCGCUCGAAACUGCGCGGCUCGAGGUCUGGAGAGGUGACUGGAAUUCUCGGUGUAGCAGUGAAAUGCGUAGAUAUCGAGAGGAACGCCAGGGGCGAAAGCGGGUCACUGGACAGAACCUGACGCUGAGGCACGAAAGCCAGGGGAGCAAAC